UCCCAGGUGGCAUAGUGGUGAAGAAUCUGCCUGCAAUGCAGGAGACCCAGGUUCGAUCCCUGGGUUGGGAA
rfam:TPA: Bos taurus chromosome 5, whole genome shotgun sequence.